rnacentral:rRNA from 1 species
AUUGAACGCUGGCGGCAGGCCUAACACAUGCAAGUCGAGCGAGCGGCGGACGGGGGAGAAUAGUAUGGGGACUGCCCGAUAGAGGGGGAUAACAACUGGAAACGGUAGCUAAUACCGCAUACUAUAGGAUAAAACAUAUGGGAUGAGCUCGUAGGUGUGGUAUUGGCUCACCUAGGCGACGAUCCCUAGCUGGUCUGAGAGGAUGAUCAGCCACACUGGGACUGAGACACGGCCCAGACUCCUACGGAGGCAGCAGUGGGGAAUAUUGCACAAUGGGCGCAAGCCUGAUGCAGCCAUGCCGCGUGUAUGAAGAAGGCCCUAGGGUUGUAAAGUACUUUCAGUCGGGAGGCGUUACCGACAGAAGAAGCACCGGCUAACUCCGUGCCAGCAGCCGCGGUAAUUC